GACGAACGCUGGCGGCGUGCUUAACACAUGCAAGUCGAACGAGUGGCGAACGGGUGAGUAAUACGUGAGGAACCUGCCCUCCUUUUUGGGACAAGCCUUGGAAACGGGGCCUAAUACCAAUAGAGGGUGAUGGGCUCGCUGCCUAUCAGCUAGUUGGGGGGGUGGUGGCUACCAAGGCGUGACGCGUAGCCGGCCGGGAGGGUGACCGGCCACACUGCGACAGGCAGACGGGCCAGACUCCUACCGGAGGCAGCAGUGGGGCUCUUGCACGUGGGUGAAUGACUGAUGCCGCGGCGCCGCGUGAUUUGACGGUCUUCGGGUUGUAGAAAUCUUUUCUAUGAGAACAGUACCAUAGGAAUAAGGACCGCUAAUUACGUGCCAGCAGCCGCGGUAAUUC
rnacentral:rRNA from 1 species